rnacentral:rRNA from 1 species
GAUGAACGCUGGCGGCGUGCUUAACACAUGCAAGUCGAACGAAGCAUUUUAACUUGAUUUCUUCGGAAUGAUUGUUACUUUGACUGAGUGGCGGACGGGUGAGUAACGCGUGGGUAACCUGCCUCAUACAGGGGGAUAACAGUUAGAAAUGACUGCUAAUACCGCAUAAGCGCACAGUACCGCAUGGUACAGUGUGAAAAACUCCGGUGGUAUGAGAUGGACCCGCGUCUGAUUAGCUAGUUGGUGGGGUAACGGCCUACCAAGGCGACGAUCAGUAGCCGACCUGAGAGGGUGACCGGCCACAUUGGGACUGAGACACGGCCCAAACUCCUACGGGAGGCAGCAGUGGGGAAUAUUGCACAAUGGGCGAAAGCCUGAUGCAGCGACGCCGCGUGAAUGAAGAAGUAUUUCGGUAUGUAAAGUUCUAUCAGCAGGGAAGAUAAUGACGGUACCUGACUAAGAAGCACCGGCUAAAUACGUGCCAGCCGCCGCAGUAAAAC